UACACGCAUGACACACUGCAUAUCAAUAAGCGGAGGAAAAGAAACUAACAAGGAUUCCCCUAGUAACGGCGAGUGAAGCGGGAAGAGCUCAAAUUUGAAAUCUUCAAGGUUCUACCUUGACGAAUUGUAGUUUAUAGAAGUGUUUUCUGUUAGUAGAGUGGCAAAAGUUCUUUGGAAUAGGACAUCAUAGAGGGUGAGAAUCCCGUAUUUGGUCAUUCUUUCUAGCUUUGUGAUACACUUUCAACGAGUCGGAUUGUUUGGGAAUGCAGUCCAAAAUGGGUGGUAAAUUUCAUCUAAAGCUAAAUAUUGGCGAGAGACCGAUAGCGAACAAGUACCGUGAGGGAAAGAUGAAAAGAACUUUGAAAAGAGAGUUAAACAGUACGUGAAAUUGUCAAAAGGGAAGCGUUAGACACCAGUGUUGUUUUCUCGAAAAUCAAUUAAAAAAGGCCGGAUUUUGUGUUGUAUUGACCUUAAAAGCUUUCUUCACUCUCUUCUUGUCUUUUUUAAUGCACUUUUCGUUUAACAAGUCAACAUCAGUUUCUUUUGUUGUAAAAGGGUCAUUGGAAGGUGGCUUUCUUUUCGGAGAAAGUGUUUAUAGCCUUUGAUCUCUGCAACCGGAGAGACUGAGGUCCGCAGCGUAGACUCUUCGGGGUUAGAUACAUUUGUGCUAAGUUAUAGUUUUUCAUAGACAACAUGUUGACUAUGAUUAAUCAUGUAGCUUACUCGCUUAUGCUAUUUUACCUACGCUUAGGAUGUUGAGCGCAUGUCUCUCUCU
rnacentral:rRNA from 1 species